GAUGAACGCUGGCGGCGUGCCUAAUACAUGCAAGUCGAGCGAACGGACGAGAAGCUUGCUUCUCUGAUGUUAGCGGCGGACGGGUGAGUAACACGUGGAUAACCUACCUAUAAGACUGGGAUAACUUCGGGAAACCGGAGCUAAUACCGGAUAAUAUUUUGAACCGCAUGGUUCAAAAGUGAAAGACGGUCUUGCUGUCACUUAUAGAUGGAUCCGCGCUGCAUUAGCUAGUUGGUAAGGUGACGGCUUACCAAGGCAACGAUGCAUAGCCGACCUGAGAGGGUGAUCGGCCACACUGGAACUGAGACACGGUCCAGACUCCUACGGGAGGCAGCAGUAGGGAAUCUUCCGCAAUGGGCGAAAGCCUGACGGAGCAACGCCGCGUGAGUGAUAAAGGUCUUCGGAUCGUAAAACUCUGUUAUUAGGGAAGAACAUGUGUGUAAGUAACUGUGCACAUCUUGACGGUACCUAAUCAGAAAGCCACGGCUAACUACGUG
rnacentral:rRNA from 1 species